CACACUACCAAUGGAAGACAUGAAGACAAUCUUUCCAGCCCCUGAAGCUUUCAAAAGGGGAUGUGCAAGUUGGGACAAAUGGAAAGCAGAUUGAAGGUUUGUGUUCAUGAGAGAUGUGAAAUCCUCAGCUGUGUAAUCUAAGGUUGCUUUAUAUAUGUUUGUCCCAGCAUUGUUUACCUGGAGAUUUGGAAGAGUUUAAAAGGCUAUUGAUUAAAAUUUAUAGAACACUACUUAUUUGUGCACAAUCAAGUUAUAUGCAUUUAUGCUACAACAAUUAAGGCUUCUUAAUUAAGUUAUAUUAAUAACUGUUUUCAUUUUCACUUUCCUUGAAACUUUCUUAGGAUCAUUGGAACAGUUAUCAAUCGCAGUUCUCUUUUCCCAUAAAAAAUGCCUAUUGUUUUAUACCAAAGGCCCUGUAGAACUUCCCUCAUAAUAUCACUAGCCCUUCUUCAAGUACUGUGAAUGUGUUAACCAAGAAGAAAGACACAGAGUGAAAUUUUACUUACAAGGAUAUUAAGUUUACCAUCAAAGCGAGAGGAAACCUCCUCCAUCAGCUUCUCUCUUUCAGCAUCAGAGGAUACAUCACAGACUGAACCAGUAACUUUAAAACCCUUCUCAUUCCAUUCACGGAUGCGUUCAUUGAGCUGGUCUUGGUUCCUCGCACAUGUAUGCACGAUUGCCCCUAGCGCUGCCAACUCAUCCACAACAGCAUAACUGUUCAUAAUGCAUUAGCAAACAAGUGUUGCUGUUAUGACUGAUUCCAAUUGUAAGCUGAUAAAUGUCUAUAUAAUGGAGCCCAGAAUCAGGAAUAUAUAAGCUAGCGAUGACUGUGAGCUAGAACUAAAGGAAGCAAGGUGUUCAAGAGGAGAAGGAAAAUUAGAGAUGAUUACCCAAUCCCUUUGGUUCCACCAGUGACAAGAGCCGUCAUUCCUUGGAGAGACCAUCUCUUCUCCAUGCUAUUGCUUUCUGGUUUGGAUAUCUUCUCUGAUCUAAUCUUCAAGUUCAAUGCAUGUAAGCUAUAAAUACUAAAACUUGCUAGAAUAAAAUAAGAAGUGGUAAGAAAUUUUAGGGUCUGUUCACUAAGAAAACUAUUUUUUUUUUUCAAAGUAAAAUUGAAAAAUGUAUUCAUUUGUUUAUAAUGAAGUUGAAUUCUUACACUUAGAAAUACAUCAUGAUUAUAACUGUUUUUUAUUAAAAAAAUCAAAACUAUAAUUUAUAAUAAUCAUUUUAAUAUUUUUAAUUAUAAUAAUCUAAUUGUGAAAUAUUAAUUUUGUUUAUUCAAAUUAAUAUCUAUCAUAAAAAUAUAUUAUUUUUUGUUAAAAAAUAUUUAUAAUAAAAAGUAUAAAUUUAUAACAUUAACAAAAUAUGAAAACACAAAAAAAUUAAUUUUUCAUAUUGCUAAAAAUUUCCUGUAUAUAAGAAAGAAAAUUGUAUUGUUCAUGUAUUUUUUUUUUAAUUUGAAAGAAAUUGAAAAACUUGUGAGGAAAUACAGUAAAAAAAAUCUCUAAAAUAUGUAUUCUAAACUCCAUAUAAAUUUGAAAAAUUAUAAAGCUAGUUUUCAAGUUUUCUUGAUAGGAUUUUUAACAUUUAUAUGAGCAUAAAUAUAAUUCUAGAUUUAUCUGAAUAAAUGUAUGUGCUGGUUAAUUUUUUUGUCCACGAGCAAAGAUUUCUUGAAACUAAAAAGAUGUGUUGACAGUGCUCGCACCUUGUUCUUACAUUAAAAAUUAAGAUUUGAAUCUUAGUCCUUAAUUCCAUCAAAUUUUAAUAUCAAUUUCCUUUAAACUAAACAAAUGCCAGAUCUGAUUGAUAUUAAACAUGACUUAUCACGCAUCACAAGUCUUAAUCUAAUAUAUAGUUUUAACUCCAAUGAAGAUUUCAAAUCUUCCUUAUUUUUCCUAAACCAAAUUAAAGAUUCGACCGACCUGGCUAAGUUUUAUAAUGUCUGAAAAAAGAAUCUUGUUCCGAACUCAAAAACUAGCCAGCUCAGGAUGUCUGGAGAAAAGCUGGAAAUAACAUUUCGAAAACAAAAACAGGUGGAGUAAUGGUGGUUGUCGUGGUGGCCAGUCAUGUUGAGUUAUAAUUAAGAUGCAUGAGAAAAAAAAAUAUAGAAAUGUAGAUCGUUCAUCAGGGUGGCGAAUAAUUAAUUAUGCUCAGCGUUUGUCGGCUGCAUGAUUUGGUGUGAUUUAAUUUAAUUUAUUUAAGUUAACUCAAGUUUAAUCAUUCAAACAUGGAUAGCCGAUCAAGGAUCAUCCUCAUUUCUUUAUGAUUACCGAUUUCACAUCAUCAGCUAGAGGAUUUCAACCUUUUUGAUCUUUUAGUAGAACUUCCGAGUUGUCUCUGAGCUCUCUUUAUGAUUUAUUAAUGAAGAUUAAUGAGGCAUGUACCUAGUUAGAUUUUUUUUUUUGAACCCACACUUUAAAUAAAUUUAAGGAAAAAUACAAAAUAAAAAAAAAUUAUAAAGGGUAAAAAAAAAACAUUAUAAAGUUGUGUAGAAAUAUCAAGAUGUUCUUUUGAAAUCUUAAUAAUUUCAGCUUAAAUUUAUCAAGAUAAUCUAUCAAAUUUAAUAUUAAAUCAAUUUUAAUAUGAAAUGAUAAAAUUAAAAAAUAUAUUUUAACUAAAAAAGUUGACUUUUAAAAACUAUAAAUUAAGCAAUUGAAUUUUUUAUUUAUCAGGUUACAUUAAGAUUCAAGAUAAGAAAAUAGAUAAAGUAUUAAAUAUCUCAAAAUUAUGAUUUUUUAUUUUGCAUUUGGAGGUCAAAAUUAAGAAAUGAAUGAGCUAAUGGAUAAUAUUAUAUUGAUUAAAUAAAUUAAAAAUUCAUCUCAACACAAAAACUUAAUUGAUUGAGUGAGAUUUCUAGAAUAAUUUUAUAUUACUAUAUGAUAUUUAUAUGGAAUUUGAAUUUAAAACUAUAUCAGAAAUUUAGAGAGAGAGAGAGAUAAUAUUUAAUUCUAGUAUAUAUAAUUUUUAAGAAUGUGAUUAUCUAAAAUCCUAGCAUGAUCUUUAAGAUUGUGAUUGUGAUGCUAAAGUAGAGUAGAUAAUUUGAAGAAUUCAAAUUAUUUUCGACAAUAAAUAUAUUAUUAGAACAGCUUGCAUGUAAAUCAAAAUUAACUCCUAUUCCAGAUGAUUUUAAUAAUAUAACCUCCACAUUGAUAUAGUAAAUUUAGAAAAACUUAAUAAUUUCUUUGGAUAUUGGCCCAAGGUUUGAGUUCGUGAAGUCGAGGAAAGAAAUAUUCCUCGUUAACCACCAAGCCAACUCUUUAUAAUUAAUUAUUUAAAUUCUUGGCUUUAUGUUUGGAGUAAAUUAAGUGCUAUGGUUUAAUGCGAAGUAAACUUUUAAAUGCAAAUGAAGAAAUUCUAACUUUGGAUGAUAUAUUUUUGGAAUAAGAAUUUUGAAAAUAUUUUUUACCUCACAAAGUUAAUAGUCUAAGAAGGAUAAUAACGAUCAGGGGAAACAACAUUCAAAGAAGGUAAUCUAAAAUACUGUAACUUUAAGUGAAAAAAGAAAGACGAACUUGAGUUUUAAAAUUAUUUAAAUGAGCUCAAAAAGAUAAAAAUAAGUAAAUACUUAUAAAUGUUGUAAAAUUUGAUUCAGUAACCUUGUAUAAAUACCUGUUUGAAAUUGUAAUAAGAAUAAUAAUUUAAAAUAUAUAUUAAAAUAAAAUUUUUUAUUUUUAAAAAAUUACUUUUGAUAUCAUAUAUUAAACAAUUUAAAAAUAUAUAAAAAAAUAAUUUUUAAUAAAAAAUAAUUUAAAUUUUUUAAAAAUAGGAUUCGCACCACACACUCCCUAAAGUUGUAUACACCACCGCAUAUGAGUGUAUUUGGUAUUGCGGUAGCUGUUGUGGUUGUGGUUUGAAAAAAGUUGUUUUUUUAAAAAUACUUUUAGUUGAGAUUGGUUUGAAAAAAUAGGUGUUUGGUUAAAACUGUGGUUGAAAUUGAGGUUGAAGAAAAAGUAGUUUAAUGUGUUUGGUUAAGAAUGCUUUUGAAAUUGAGGUUAUAAAAUAAUUUUAAAAAUAUAUAUAUUAAUAUUGAUGGUUUUUAAUUUAAAUAUUGUAGAUUUAACUAUUACUAUUAUAUCAUGAAAUAAAUAAUACUUUACAUAAAAUAUUUUUUAUUGUUCCAUUAAAGUUUUUAAGAGCGCAACAACAUAGGUAAAAUAUAAUCAAGAAUAACAUUGGAAUUGCGAUCUAAUUCUGCAAAUAUUACGUCAUCAAGCGAUCUCCAUCUAAUUUAUAUAGUGUCAUUAAAUAAUAUUUAACACUAGUUUUUCUAAUAAAACACAAUUAAAAAUAAAAAAUAUAUUUUUUAUUUUAUUAGAUCGGACCCGGUUCAAUGCAUUUUUAGCGUUGAACCGGACCAGUAAGACCGGAACCUCCACUGUUCAUGAGUGUUCCAGCUCAAGAAGCAUCAAAUUGCUGCUUCUUGCAAACAAUUAACAGUAGGCCCCACCAGUGCUUCCUGCAGACCUGCGACCGUGCCACAAUUAACAAUAGGCCCCACUAAUAAAAAUCUACUCUUUGAGCAUUACCAAACAAAUAAAUUGUUGUGAUUGCUUUAAACACAGAAACAACCAAGUAAUUAAACACCCUUAGUUGCUGUGGUUGCUUCUCAUAUUCUUUGAAAAUAAGUAAAUAUUAAUUAAAAAAUAGUUUAAUGACCAUGGAAAACACCCAAAUAAAUAAUAUUAAAUUAGCUUCAAGGCUUAGAGUCUGAGACAAUCCUCUUAUUUGACAGGACAGUUCACAACAUCAUCAAAAGAUAAGAUUUGACAGGACAGUUCACAACAUCAUCAAAGGGCAAUAGACUGCCUUAUUCAAUCCAACAAGUAGAUGAAUUCACGCCUCAGAGCAGCUAAUUUUCAACCCAUGGAAAAGCCAUUCACUGACAUCCCUCCAUCAAUGCAUAUGACUUGUCCUGUUAAGAAACCUGGUGCAGGCAAGCAUAGAAAUGCGACAACAGAAGAGACCUCUCCUGGUUCCCCAACGCGUCUCAUGGGGGUUCGAUUGAAAACCUCCUUCACAAUGCUCUCAUCAUCCAGACUCUGAAUGGUUAAGGAAAAGCAUUAGAUAACUCAUGAUCACAGAAAAACUAGCUUGAUAAUAACAAAUGUGUUGCUGACGUUAAUUAAUCUAAUUCACCUAGUUCCUAAGACUGAUUAUUGCAGAACUGAAGCAAUAACAAUGUUCGAUAAGAUAAUCAUAUUGCAGAACUGAGCGUCUCGCGUUAGUUCAGAACAAUCCACCUGUGUUUGUUGGACUUGUGCAAUGAGAAUUGAAUGGGAAAAACAUGUAGAAAGGACGUUAAUUAGAGAACUCGUGAGUUUGUAGAAUGUUGUACAUGUGCUGUGAGUGGAGUUCGGAUGAACCAGGGUGCAACUGCGUUAACCCUUAUAUUGUCCUUAGCCCAUUCGCACGCCAAAUUCCUUGUAAGUUGGUUCAUUGCACCUGCAGUAUACAUGUCAUGACAGGUCCUAAGAGAACAAGCUUUUGCAAUAGAAACAGAAGGGAAAUUAAAAUGAGAAAACAGGUCUAGAGAAGUAGUUAAGUACCUUUAGAAGCUGAAUACAAAGGAUACUGAGGGUUCAUAGAUACCACACUAAUAAUGGAAGACAUGAAGACAAUCUUUCCAGCCCCUGAAGCUUUCAAAAGGGGAUGUGCAAGUUGGGACAAAUGGAAAGCAGAUUGAAGGUUUGUGUUCAUGAGAGAUGUGAAAUCCUCAGCUGUGUAAUCUAAGGUCGCUUUAUAUAUGUUUGUCCCAGCAUUGUUUACCUGGAGAUUUGGAAGAGUUUAAAAGGCUAUUGAUUAAA
rnacentral:lncRNA from 1 species